UUGGGUUUGACUGACCAAGGGUCUGAAGGAAAGUGGAAAUGGAUCGACACAAGUGCUCCAGCGACAUUUAUCAAAUGGGCUCGCGGUCAACCGGAAGGUCGCACAAGACAGAACUGCGUGGUGUACAGCAGUUCUGCCUCAUAUCAUUGGCAUGACACAGAAUGUACUAAGCGAUAUCCAUUUAUUUGCAAAACAGUAAAAUAGACAACCGGAAGAUAACAACAUAUAUGUGUUCAUUGAAGUAUCUAUCGUUAACUCUGUAAUGUUACUAAAAACACUUUCAAACAAUAUUUGUUGCACAUAUUUUGAUGUAAUGAAUGGCGACCAGCAAAGAAUUUGCCAGAUCUUAUACUUCUUUAUCAUUAUUAUAGAUAUGGAUUAAUUUCUCUGUCACAUUCUUUUUUUAUUUUGUUGCGAAUUCCAAAAC